rnacentral:misc_RNA from 1 species
GAUGAAGAACGUAGCGAAAUGCGAUACUUGGUGUGAAUUGCAGAAUCCCGUGAACCAUCGAGUCUUUGAACGCAAGUUGCGCCUCAAGCCAUUAGGUUGGGGGCACGUCUGCCUGGGCGUCACAUAUCGUUGCCUGAUGCCAGUUUCCUCGUGAUGGGUGACUGUGCAGGGCGAAUGAUGGCUUCCCGUGAGCAUUGUUGCCUCAUGGUUGGUUGAAAAUUGAGUCCUUGGUAGGGAGCGCCGUGAUAGAUGGUGGUUGAGUGACGAACGAGACCCAAUCAUGUGAGACCCCUACCGAAUUUGGCCUUCAUGACCCACAUGCGUCUUUGGAACGCUCAUGACGAGACCUCAGGUCAGGCGGGGCUACCCGCUGAGUUUAAGCAUAUCAAUAAGCGGAGGA